UACGUAGGGCGCAAGCGUUGUCCGGAAUUAUUGGGCGUAAAGAGCUCGUAGGCGGCUUGUCACGUCGGUUGUGAAAGCCCGGGGCUUAACCCCGGGUCUGCAGUCGAUACGGGCAGGCUAGAGUGUGGUAGGGGAGAUCGGAAUUCCUGGUGUAGCGGUGAAAUGCGCAGAUAUCAGGAGGAACACCGGUGGCGAAGGCGGAUCUCUGGGCCAUUACUGACGCUGAGGAGCGAAAUCGUCGGGAGCGAACAGG
rnacentral:rRNA from 1 species